rnacentral:lncRNA from 1 species
CCAUCCCCUCCACCUCCAUACCAUUACUCAUCACCUCCACCACCUGUGAAAUCCCCACCACCUCCAUAUCAUUAUUCCUCACCCCCACCACCUGUCAAAUCCCCGCCACCUCCAUAUCAUUAUUCGUCACCCCCACCACCAGUGAAAUCCCCGCCACCUCCAUAUCAUUAUUCGUCACCCCCACCACCAGUGAAAUCCCCGCCACCUCCAUAUCAUUAUUCGUCACCCCCACCACCAGUGAAAUCCCCGCCACCACCAUAUCAUUAUUCAUCACCACCACCCCCCGUCAAAUCCCCACCACCUCCUUACCAUUACUCUUCACCACCACCACCAGUAAAAUCUCCACCACCUCCAUAUCAUUAUUCAUCACCUCCACCACCAGUGAAAUCCCCACCACCUCCAUACCACUAUACGUCACCACCACCUCCAGUAAAAUCACCACCACCCCCAUAUCAUUAUUCAUCACCUCCACCACCCGUGAAGUCCCCACCACCACCAUACCACUAUUCUUCACCACCACCACCAGUAAAAUCCCCACCUCCUCCAUACCAUUACUCAUCACCUCCCCCACCUGUGAAAUCACCACCCCCUCCAUACCACUACUCUUCACCACCACCACCAGUCAAAUCCCCACCUCCUCCAUACCACUACUCUUCAC